CCGCAUUCUUCAAAACCCCCCAGUAGCUGCCUGUAUAGCUGCAGGGACAAGGAGGAAUGCCACAGAAAUCCUGGAGUAAAGCAAAGCUGGGUGUGUCAUCUCUAACUCUCAGCCAUUUCAGCUCCUGGACAUUC